ACAUACCAAACAAGCCAGUAUCAUUGGCUGUCUGCGUAUCCCCAACUCACAGACGGUCUCUCUAAGCUGGUAGAUCGAAAACCUAAAUACGAACAACUUAAGUUCUGUCGUAGUGGCUCCUAAUAUCCAAGCCCUAUGACACUAUUGUGGUUCAAACAGCU
rnacentral:snoRNA from 1 species